UACGGGGGGAGCAAGGCGUUGUUCGGAUUUACUGGGCGUAAAGGGCGCGUAGGCGGCCACCGCAAGUCGACUGUGAAAUCUCCGGGCUUAACCCGGAACGGUCAGCCGAUACUGCGGGGCUAGAGUGCAGAAGGGGCAACUGGAAUUCUCGGUGUAGCGGUGAAAUGCGUAGAUAUCGAGAGGAACACCUGCGGCGAAGGCGGGUUGCUGGGCUGACACUGACGCUGAUGUGCGAAAGCUAGGGGAGCGAACGGG
rnacentral:rRNA from 1 species